rnacentral:sRNA from 1 species
GCGGAGGAAAAGAAACCAACAGGGAUUGCCCUAGUAACGGCGAGUGAAGCGGCAACAGCUCAAAUUUGAAAUCUGGCGUCUUUGGCGUCCGAGUUGUAAUUUGCAGAGGGCGCUUUGGCAUUGGCAGCGGUCCAAGUUCCUUGGAACAGGACGUCACAGAGGGUGAGAAUCCCGUACGUGGUCGCUAGCCUUUACCGUGUAAAGCCCCUUCGACGAGUCGAGUUGUUUGGGAAUGCAGCUCUAAAUGGGAGGUAAAUUUCUUCUAAAGCUAAAUACUGGCCAGAGACCGAUAGCGCACAAGUAGAGUGAUCGAAAGAUGAAAAGCACUUUGGAAAGAGAGUUAAAAAGCACGUGAAAUUGUUGAAAGGGAAGCGCUUGCAGCCAGACUUGCCUGUAGUUGCUCAUCCGGGUUUUUACCCGGUGCACUCUUCUAUAGGCAGGCCAGCAUCAGUUUGGGCGGUUGGAUAAAGGUCUCUGUCAUGUACCUCUCUUCGGGGAGAACUUAUAGGGGAGACGACAUGCAACCAGCCUGGACUGAGGUCCGCGCAUCUGCUAGGAUGCUGGCGUAAUGGCUGUAAGCGGCCCGUCUUGAAACACGGACCAAGGAGUCUAACAUCUAUGCGAGUGUUUGGGUGUCAAGCCCGAGCGCGUAAUGAAAGUGAACGGAGGUGGGAACCUUUCGGGGUGCACCAUCGACCGAUCCUGAUGUCUUCGGAUGGAUUUGAGUAAGAGCAUAGCUGUUGGGACCCGAAAGAUGGUGAACUAUGCUUGAAUAGGGUGAAGCCAGAGGAAACUCUGGUGGAGGCUCGCAGCGGUUCUGACGUGCAAAUCGAUCGUCAAAUUUGGGCAUAGGGGCGAAAGACUAAUCGAACUAUCUAGUAGCUGGUUCCUG